AACACACACUUACAGAAAAGGAAACAGAAGGAAAGGGGAAAAGGAAGAAAAGGAAAAAAGAGAAGGGGGAAUCGGGGAAGAAGGGAAGGAGAAGGAGAAGAGCCCGCCGUCGCUGCGCCCUGCCCGCCUGUCGCCGCCGUUCCGUGGAGCUGCCGCCAUCGUCGCGCGAACCGGAGGUGUGGAGACGGAGAAGAGUGCGCGCGAGAGAGGAGAAGUAGCCACCAUCGUCGAGGACUCCAUCACCGCCGCUGAAGGUCCUGACCGUCGAGCUCGUCGUCGCCGUCGCACCUCCCAUCACUGCCGCCACUGAGGAGCUCGAAGAGAGAGAAAGGGUUCGCGCAGAGAGAGAAACACGAUGAGGGAGGAGGAGGUUGCCUCUGUUGCUGCCAAGCCGUCGCUGGCGGGGUUGGGUUCGCCGUCGCCGUCGCCGUUGGCGUCUGGAUCACCACUCUGUUUCUGCUGCAACUCGCCACUGUCCUGGUGAGCUUUACCGUGCGAGUUACUUUGCUGUUGCCUAAUAUUGAUUUUAAUGUUGACUUGGUAUAAUGUUGUUCUGAUGUUGAUUUGGGAACUGGUUAUUUGGAAAUGCUGUUGUGAUUUUAUUUUUAUUUUAAGAUUGAUUUAGUAUGUAACUGUUUCUCUGGACUCUGGCAAUGCUGCUCUGAUUUUGUUUUGAUUCCAAUUGCCCUCAUACUCAAUUUCACCAAACUGGACAUACACUUACCUUGAAGCAGCUUGGUCUGAUCAUUGGCAAAGGCCAGCAUGGAAGGAAGCUUGUGCUACUCUUGAAAAGCUCCUUUCAGAUUCUCUGCUGGUGAAGGCUGCCAUACAGCACCACAUUUAUUGCAGACUCUGCUCUCUCAUUUGGCGCAAGCAAUAGCAGAUUAUGUUGUUUUCCAAGUGGAGUCUGGGGCUCACUGCAUACAAAUAUUUGAUUCAUGGGGUGGACAACUACCACCUGAUAUGUGGGAACGCUGGUCAAAGCCUUAUAUCAAAGAGAUUGUAGAUUUGGUCAAGAAAAGAUGCCUUGAGACACCGAUUGUUCUUUAUAUAAAUGGAAAUGGUGGCCUCCUUGAGCGUAUGAAAGAUACUGGAGUUGAUGUUAUUGGGCUGGACUGAACUGUGGAUAUGGCAGAUGGAAGAAGAUUGGGUAGUGGAAUAGGUGUGCAGGGAAAUGUGACCCUGCCUACUUAUUCUCCCCACUUCCUGCCCUCACUGAAGAAAUUCAGAGGUUGGCGAUUUAAUAUCUUUUUAACUCUGACAUUCUUCAUUCUUGAUAGUCAUAUCCUUUACCUGUUCAGCCUGCAUUUUCCCCCUGUUCAUGAUUCAGAUCCAGUGCGACUGUCAAGAUAAAAAUGAGAUUUAAGAUUCUUUCUAGUUCUUUAUGUGGAGCAGUUGUCAUUGAAGCCAAGAGAGUCCACUGAAGCUGAGUUACCAUACCAACUUUGUUGAAGAAAAAUGAAGAAAUUGCCACUCUUAGGCUAUACCGCUAUAGUAUUAUGAUAUUUUGAAAAAUGAUGAUAUAUAAGUAAAAGUAGUUAUGAUCUAGAUUAGUAUUAUGUUAUUUUGCAAUGAUGAUAUAAUGUGAUUGUGGAUCUUACAACAAUUUUUAUAAGUCAAAUUUGAUGGUAAAUGUUCAAUUAGUUUUCUUUAGUAA